UUAGUUAAACGUAAUACAUUUUACGGCAUGAAAUUUGUCACUGUUUGGAAAAUGUGUAUGGCCAGCCUGAUACGUAGUAUAGGCUGAAGCAAUGUAUUAUAUAUUGACAAGCAUUCGUUGAAAAGUAUGAAAUUUUUUGGAUUUUAAUAUAAUGUGAACUUUAAUAUGGCAAAACAAAAGAGCAGUCAAUGUAUUUGAGCGUUUCGAAAAUGACCAAAGGUUAAUAAACCACCGAAAAAAACUUCCAAAAAGUGAGUUGGAAAGAAAGUAUCUACCGAGCCAGAAAAAAAACAUUGGAGGCGUGCAAAAUUGAGCAAUAUAACCUUCCAACUAUAUUAAAUAUGUGUGGAUCAAGUAUAUAUAAUCUAAUUGUACCAUUCACUAGUAUGGAUGAUUUACAAGAUUCGAGGGUAUCUGUUACAAGUAAGGAUUUAUUUAUUCGUUUGGUUGAACCGAGUGAAUAUAAUUUUUUUAUAAAGAUGGGUAAAUGGUGCUAUCUGUAUAACAGAAAAGCAUCAAAAACAGAAUAUUUUAUUAUACAGAAUGGACAUCAAUAGAUAUAAUACUUUUGGAAGAAGUAAAUCUGUAAUUAACCUAAAGCAGUUCCUUCGAUGUUUAUGACAUAUCAUUUUGUCAUGAAAGAAGAAAUUGAUGAUUUGUCAUCAGAAAUACAGCAAACAUGAUUCUAAAUGAUAAUUUUGGAUCAUAUUGAAUAUAUUUUGUUAGAUAUUGAAAACAAAGUUAAAGUUGUUCGAGACACAAUAGAAAAGCACCAUGGCCAUACCUAGGAAUUGGUGCUUCUGAUACCCAUAAUAAAUCCAUAUUACAUGCCAAAACUGGAAUGUGUGGAUAUGGAAUGUCACUGGGCAAUUUACUUGGCAUUCCAUUAGUCAUUAAAAGAUCCACUAUGAGUUGCAACGGAGUUUCCCAAGAUAUUGGUUCACUAAAUAACAGGAUACCUUCUAUUUUUGGAAAAUUUGAAUCUAUUGGUCCACACUGUGGAUUUCUCUUUAACAUAUUGACAUAAUCCAAACUUGGAAAAUUUUUCACGAGUUCUUCGAUCGUCAUAGUUUUCUUAAAACCCAACUCUUUGGCUAUUUCUCUGACUGGACCUUGCCCUGAUAUAAGAACAUGCUUGUCAUGAAGGUCAUGAAACAUUUGCAAUGGAGAAUGAGCUAAGAUAACUUGUGAUUCUGAUAUUUCAAAUCCAAUCCAUUUAGAUAAAUCAGCUGCUUUUUGACUACGUAAAGCAUUUCCACUGUUCGUAACAAAGACAGUAGGAACACGAAAUUUGCCAUCCUCUCCUCUAAGUUUUUUAAAGGAUUCUACAACUGGUGGUAAAACAUUUUUACCACGCACUAUAACUCCAUCGAUGUCAAAUAAUAAACCAAACUUUGGUUUAGUGCUUAAGUUCUGAAAAUAAAAUAAAUAGAUAAAUUUUA